UACAACCUACAUGGGCCGAUUUGGCGUC
rnacentral:sRNA from 1 species